UACGAGGGGGGCGAGCGUUGUUCGGAAUUAUUGGGCGUAAAGGGUGCGUAGGCGGCCUGACAAGUCUGAUGUGAAAUCCCUGGGCUCAACCCAGGGCCUGCAUCGGAAACUGUCGGGCUUGAGUAUGGGAGAGGUGAGUGGAAUUCCCGGUGUAGCGGUGAAAUGCGUAGAUAUCGGAAGGAACACCUGUGGCGAAAGCGGCUCACUGGACCAUUACUGACGCUGAGGCACGAAAGCUAGGGGAGCAAACGGG
rnacentral:rRNA from 1 species